GCUGGGUGUGGUGGUGUAUGCCUGUAAUCCCAGCAACUCAGGAGGUUGAGGCAGGAAGAUCCGAAGUUUGAGGCCAGCCUCAG
rnacentral:sRNA from 1 species